UGGGGAAUUUUGGACAAUGGGGGCAACCCUGAUCCAGCAAUGCCGCGUGUGUGAAGAAGGCCUUCGGGUUGUAAAGCACUUUCAGUAGGGAGGAAGGUAGUGUAGUUAACACCUGCAUUAUUUGACGUUACCUACAGAAGAAGCACCGGCUAACUCCGUGCCAGCAGCCGCGGUAAUACGGAGGGUGCGAGCGUUAAUCGGAAUUACUGGGCGUAAAGCGCAUGCAGGCGGCCUGUUAAGUCAGAUGUGAAAGCCCCGGGGCUUAACCUCGGAAUUGCAUUUGAAACUGGCAGGCUAGAGUCUUGUAGAGGGGGUAGAAUUUCAGGUGUAGCGGUGAAAUGCGUAGAGAUCUGAAGGAAUACCAGUGGCGAAGGCGGCCCCCUGGACAAAGACUGACGCUCAGAUGCGAAAGCGUGGGGAGCAAACAGGAUUAGAUACCCUGGUAG
rnacentral:rRNA from 1 species